rnacentral:rRNA from 1 species
UUGGAGGGCAAGUCUGGUGCCCGCAGCCGCGGUAAUUCCAGCUCCAGUAGCGUAUAUUAAAGUUGUUGCAGUUAAAAAGCUCGUAGUUGAACUUCGGGGUCUACCCAUUGGUCAGGCUUAAUUGUCUGCACUGGUGAGAUGGAUCUCUACCUUCUGAGGAACUUUCAUGCCAUUUAUUUGGUGUGAUGGGAAAUCAGGACUGUUACUUUGAAAAAAUUAGAGUGUUUAAAGCAGACUAUCGUCUGAAUACAUUAGCAUGGAAUAAUGAAAUAGGACGGACUGAUUCUAUUUCGUUGGUUUCUAGGAUCACCGUAAUGAUUAAUAGGGAUAGUUGGGGGCAUUAGUAUUCAAUUGUCAGAGGUGAAAUUCUUGGAUUUAUUGAAGACUAACUACUGCGAAAGCAUUUGCCAAGGAUGUUUUCAUUAAUCAAGAACGAAAGUUAGGGGAUCGAAGACGAUCAGAUACCGUCGUAGUCUUAACCAUAAACUAUGCCGACUAGGGAUCGGACGAAGUUAAUUUUAUAAUGACGCGUUCGGCGCCUUACGGGAAAC